UACGUAGGUGGCAAGCGUUUGUCCGGAUUUACUGGGCGUAAAGAGCGCGCAGGCGGUUGUGCAAGUCGCGUGUGAAAGCCCCCCGGCUCAACUGGGGAGGGUCACGCGAUACUGUUCGACUUGAAGGCAGGAGAGGGAAGUGGAAUUCCCGGUGUAGUGGUGAAAUGCGUAGAUAUCGGGAGGAACACCAGUGGCGAAGGCGACUUCCUGGCCUGUUCUUGACGCUGAGGCGCGAAAGCUAGGGUAGCAAACGGG
rnacentral:rRNA from 1 species